GGCAGGGUAACAUAAUGGUGAAUGAGUAGGACUGCAAUUCCUUGAAUGAGCGUUCGAGUCGCUCCUCUGCCU
rnacentral:tRNA from 1 species